rnacentral:rRNA from 1 species
UGAUGCAGCGACGCCGCGUGAGGGAUGACGGCCUUCGGGUUGUAAACCUCUUUCAGCAGGGAAGAAGCGCAAGUGACGGUACCUGCAGAAGAAGCACCGGCUAACUACGUGCCAGCAGCCGCGGUAAUACGUAGGGUGCGAGCGUUGUCCGGAAUUAUUGGGCGUAAAGAGCUCGUAGGCGGCUUGUCGCGUCGGAUGUGAAAGCCCGGGGCUUAACUCCGGGUCUGCAUUCGAUACGGGCAGGCUAGAGUGUGGUAGGGGAGAUCGGAAUUCCUGGUGUAGCGGUGAAAUGCGCAGAUAUCAGGAGGAACACCGGUGGCGAAGGCGGAUCUCUGGGCCAUUACUGACGCUGAGGAGCGAAAGCGUGGGGAGCGAACAGGAUUAGAUACCCUGGUAGUCCACGCCGUAAACGUUGGGAACUAGGUGUGGGUCACAUUCCACGUGGUCCGCGCCGCAGCUAACGCA